CCAGGACACAAGGGCCUACAUAAGAGGAUAGGUUUUCCUGAUCCGGCCCCCUGUGGUUACAAAUGCAUUUACCGCGGAUCUUUGAGAGUAUAAAGCCCACUGCACAGUGCUAUGCAUACACUUCUGGAAAAGGACGAUUCCUCUCAAGAACCAUAUCCCGUAAAGACCCACUUCAACUAUAAAUGGACGGAGAAUCAACCCGCAACAAUGAAGUUCUAAAUGAUAUCCAGGAGCUUAUAGAAGAACAUUUAAUUUCACACCAGGAGGAAGUAAUUGAACAGCCUCCUACGAUCGUUCCCCUCUCACCUACGUUGGUACUGCUGUCCCCCACAUGGUUUUUGGAGAAUC